GACGAACGCUGGCGGCGUGCCUAAUACAUGCAAGUCGAGCGGACCGAACGAGGGCUUGCUCCUGUUUGGUCAGCGGCGGACGGGUGAGUAACACGUGGGCAACCUGCCCGCAAGACCGGGAUAACUCCGGGAAACCGGAGCUAAUACCGGAUAACACCGAAGACCGCAUGGUCUUCGGUUGAAAGGCGGCCUUUGGGCUGUCACUUGCGGAUGGGCCCGCGGCGCAUUAGCUAGUUGGUGAGGUAACGGCUCACCAAGGCGACGAUGCGUAGCCGGCCUGAGAGGGUGACCGGCCACACUGGGACUGAGACACGGCCCAGACUCCUACGGGAGGCAGCAGUAGGGAAUCUUCCGCAAUGGGCGAAAGCCUGACGGAGCGACGCCGCGUGAGCGAAGAAGGCCUUCGGGUCGUAAAGCUCUGUUGUGAGGGACGAAGGAGCGCCGUUCGAAGAGGGCGGCGCGGUGACGGUACCUCACGAGAAAGCCCCGGCUAACUACGUGCCAACAGCCGCCGCGG
rnacentral:rRNA from 1 species